rnacentral:piRNA from 1 species
UGCAAGUGGCUUGAUGGGAAAGAAGGUC